GACUCUGUGACCCCGCUCUCUAGGAUGUCUGAAGACCUUCCCUCAGGCCUGUGUCUUAAAUAGGAACGAAUUCAUUUCCAUUUUCUGAAUGUUCCCUCUUUCCACUUCUGUUUCUGCUUUUCACUUUGCACUCUCCAAAUGGGUUAGGGCAACAUUUCUCAGCCAUAUCUUUUUCACUAUUGCCUUCCCUUCCUCUCUCUACAGAGCAUUUUUAGAUUUUUUUUUCCUUAUUGUUCCCCCAUGAAAUUAUGUAAACACAGGCAUACUGUGUAUCUAUUUAUAUAGUCCAUGGAUAUCUCUAUUUUUUCAGUAAAAAAAAAAAGUACAAAACUUACUCUUUGUAUUCACUGGACAGUUAAAAAUGACACAAAAUUUGUAAACUACGAAUGAAAUGUAAAAGCUAUUGAAUUUUAAUUUGCCUUUAUACCUAAAUCUUGCAAACUAAGUUGGCAGAGUGACUUUUAGGGUAAUAUAUUGACUUACAUAUAUAAGAAUGUAUUAAAUUAUGUACUCAACAUUCAUGUAGAUGAUAACACCAAAGUAUGGAUAUAUUUUUAAAAAAUCAUUCAAGACUGGUCAAAAUCAUUGAAAGACUUAAAUUAUUUUCUUAAUAUUUGUUUUUAGCCUUUAAUUUUAAUUUUGCUUCAUAUUAGAAAAUAUUUUUUAACUUCACUGGCUAAUAGACAUACAGAUAUUUUCAAAUUUUUUCUGUUUAGCAUUGACAUAAUUAUUGAUGUGUUGAAUGACUUUAGAGGAAUUAAAUAAUGAAAUGUAACCAUAUUUGUAUUUAAUGUACAGAUAUAAUUUGAUGUUUGUAUUUACCUCCCAUAGCCUGAAUCACACUGAGACUCAAACAUAAGCCACAUCUACGAGACAGCCAAUGGAAGCUCAUAAGAGACUCUGCAACGUGAGAUCUGAAGCAGGCUCUCGCCGGAAUCCCACCACGCUGACACCCUCAUCUUGGAUUUCCUGGCUCUAGACCAGUGAGCCAUACAUUUCUGCUCUUUACAAACUACCCAGUCUUUGCUCUUCUGGGGACGAAGCAAGAAUAGACCAAGACAUGACCUGAACUAUUUUCUCCUCAGACUACUACUCAGGAGUGUGUAAAAUACCUAAAUGGAGAGAAACCAUGUGGCCCAACCUCAUCUCCUAGGGAAAAAGGCAACAACUUGUAAUGUGUCUACAUAUAUGGAUACUUCCCUCCUUAGCCUAUGCCUUUGGGGAUCAACUUGAAUCAUUCUUUCAGAAUCAGUGCCGCUAGAGCUCCUAAUGAGAAGCAGCCAGGCAGGUAUUCAGAGCAUCUGGAGAACGUCUCCUAUGGCCAGACAUCUGCAUCAGCAAGCUCACUGGGGACCUGCCAGGCUCUUCACUGGUGACAUGGAGGAUGAUGGUCUCCAGCCCCGUCUGCAGACUUAGCUGUGACCUGGCCCAGAUCCAUGGCCUGCCAAAGCAGGAGACCCCCACAGUUCUGCACCUAAUGGGGAGAGUCCUCCUUGUUUUCCUGCCUGAAGGACAGGAAUGCUUUGGGGUUCCCCAAAAGCUGAACAGCAGCCAGUUCCAAAAAACUCAGGCCACCUCUUUCUCCAUGAGAUGAUCCAGCCGAGCUUCAACUUGUUUGGCACAAACAGCUGAAAUUCUUCACUGGGCUUGAUCAGCAGGAGGAAGCUCUGCAGACCAGUUUGGUGCAGUAGCCUGGGGAAGAAAAGACCUUCCUGGAAAUGAGGACUCUAGCCUGACUUUGAAGAAGUCCUUUUGAAGGACCAGGUUACAUCUGAAAAGAAAGUAUAGCCGCUGUGCGUGGGACAUCGUCAGACUGGAAGUUAAGCAAGGGAAUCUCUCCCCAAAGCUGUAUCUUCUGAAACUGACCCUCCAUGAGGAAUUGGACCCUGGAACAGCCAUGGUGAGUCUUGGGAUGUCUAAGAGAGACUUUCUUUUAUAAAAUGAUAUAAGGUCUGAAUGUGAGAAUGGAGGUGGGAAUGGGGAUGGGCCAAAGGUCCAUCUCUUCUCAGGCAGAUAGGUUCUGUGCAAGCAUGUGUACCAGUGUUGACCAUGUUAAAAAUUUGCUAAAUGAAGUAUUUAAAUAAUUUGAACUCUUUAAUAAAUAUUAAACAUGGAUUACCUUCUUAAUAAUUUAAAAUACAAUUUUUGACUUAGGAAAAGUGGAAUUUUCCUAGUCAUGUCAUUACGAAAUUUUGCAUAAUUAUUGAUUUCAUAUUAGCACAAUGAAAUAAUAAACUCAGACAACAAAUUGAGAGACACUUUCUUUGAUACCUUUCACAAGCACAUUGAUUAGAUCUUCAUAUGGCUAAACAAUUUCUAGUAACUUUAAACAGGUACAGAAGUAUAAUGUACUAAGAAACAGGUCUUCAGAUCAAAAUAUUGCGAAGUGUAAAACAAAAAUGUUGAAUGUUUAAUAAGUCUGGAUUUAUUAACAAAUCCUUUCUUAUCAGGCCUGUCACAGAGUUUUUAAGCACACCUAUUUUUGUAUUAAGGUAUUUGUAGAUUUACUUAGAAACCAGGCAAAAUGACCUCGUGCCUUAAGGAGAUUUGUCCCUGAGCAGAUUAAAAUGUAUAAAAACAUGCCUUCAUUCUAGCCUCUUGGAUGAUAGGAAGAAAAUAAAAUUAACGUAAUUUUGAAAUAGGAAUUGAAGAAGCUCUUUAUUAACAAGUUGAAAACUCAGGAAUUAAAGAAAUAUUUUGACUAUCAAAAUGCUGAACCUGACUGCCUUUCACUGGCACGUGCUUAUAAAUGGCAGAAAUGUAUUUGUCACAGUU